CGUUCUCUGCGGUGUUCGAGUAGCGGACUGGGUAACCCCUUGAUCCUAAUUGAUUAUACCCGGGGACGUGGUUGCUGGUGCAGGUGUGCAUGUCCACCUUCGUUGUGGAAAGCCUGAUGCAUCGCGCUGCGCCCCACUUGAACCUCCCUGGUUCAAGGGCAAGGUCCGGGACGGCACAGGCGGAGGACGC
rnacentral:other from 2 species